AUUGAACGCUGGCGGCAGUCUUAACACAUGCAAGUCGAACGAGUGGCGGACGUGUGAGUAAUGCUUGGGAAUCUAUCUUAUGGAGGGGGAUAACUACGGGACACUGUAGCUAAUACCGCUUACCAUAGGAUGAGCCCCAGUGGGAUUAGGUAGUUGGUGAGGUAAAGGUUCACCAAGCAGACGAUCUCUAGCUGGUCUGAGAGGAUGACCAGCCACACUGGGACUGAGAAACGGCCCAGACGAAUACGGGAGGCAGCAGUGGGGAAUAUUGCGCAAUGGGGGAAACCUGAAGCAGCCAUGCCGCGUGAAUGAAGAAGGCCUUCGGGUUGUAAAGUUCUUUCGGUAGCGAGGCGUUAACUACAGAAGAAGCACCGGCUAACUCCGUGCCAGCAGCCGCGGUAAUAC
rnacentral:rRNA from 1 species